ACAGACAAAUUGAUGAACAUUGUGAUUAAAAUCGUCCGUCUGAGGGCAUUUCUCUCACUCGGAUAUUUCAGGGAACAUUAAACCCUUCAGUAAUUCACUGAUCGUAGAUCCCAUCACUGUCAAUGUCCCUCACUGCCCAGCUCCAAUGAAUUCACCGAAUGUCAGUAAUUUCAUCUGUCGGUGUGACCCUGUAAACUCCACAUAUUCUCUCUCAUUCCCUAAUGGUUAGAAAAGUGUUCCUGACGUGAGACAGUCGGAAAGGGCAGGUGUGAAGGGGAGAAGUCAAACAGUGAGGAAGAUUUGAGAAUCGGGAAAUGUCGAUGGGAGAUGGAGGAAGGGACAUCACCUAAGUUUGCACUUUAUCCCGUUGUGAUGCAGUUUGAACAGCAUCGUCUGGAUGAAAGAUCUGUUUCAGACCAGGGUAUUUUACCAAAAUUAUACGUCAAUAUGGGCACAGUGAGUGUUUACUACCUUUGUUAUAUUUUUACUGUUCAGCUCUGUUUGGCAGAUUUUCUUGAUCCUUGAUGUAAAUUCAAAGUUUGUUCAGCCUUGCAGUAAAUUCAGAUUUUCUUCAGCCUUGAAGUAAAUUUUGUUGGAAGGUUUUCCUUUAUCACACGAUGAUCUAUUUUCUUUGCUUAUUGAUAUCCUAAAUAUCCGUUUCAUAUUCUGUUGCAUUGCAUCCCGAUGCUCUGUUUGAUAUUCUACCGGCUCUAUUGCACCUUUCUUUAUGUUUAAUCAUGUUCUGUACUUUCCUUGUCUAAAGUUCAUGUUUUUAUAUUUGGAAAUUAGUUCCAUUAUUUGAAUUGUUUGUUUCAGCUUUACUGAUGCAAGAGCAAAUAAUUUCAAAUCAUCAAUGUAUAGCUGUGUCAAGGUAUAAUUCGUAUUUUUUUCUGAUUUUUGUCUGUUUCAGUAAAUUAUGAAUGGGCUUAAAGCUGGACAAAACCACAGUGGGCUUAGUGAGUCGCCGUGGAAAAUCCCUCCAUUUAUUUGGAUAGUGGUCGUUGUUCCUCUGUGGUUGUUAAUAGGACGAUUAUUUUAUGCGAAUGCUUCAUCAGUUGUAGAAAUUUCACAAGUAUUGUAUGAAUUUUAUAUAUAUUUGGAACUUCUCAAAACACACGAGGAACAGAAUCUGAUUUUUUUUUGAUUGAUAAUAUAACACUGAAAGUUUUCUGCUUUCCACAGGGUUUGAAAUAGAAUAGAUAAUCUGUUAUCUGUUGUUCAAACCCGAACAGCAUUCUGUCUGCUCUCCUGUGAGUAUAUUGUGGUUACCUAAGUUGUUAUCUGAGUUGUUAUUAGUUACAAGACGUAAGAUGCUAUAAUUUUAGAUAUAAAAUUGUCUUAUUAUUAUUAAGAGCCAAUAAUAAUAGUAGGUGACCAUUUAGUAGUCUUAUAAAUGCAGAAUAAAGCUGUCGUUGAGACUGGUGGUACAUCCCUUCAGCCUUUUAUAUGUUCUGCCCCAUGGGAGUAUGACAGAGAGGAUGUAUGAAGUGGUUUGGGGUUCAGCAGCAAGGCUUU